GACGAACGCUGGCGGCGUGCCUAAUACAUGCAAGUAGAACGCACAGUUUAUACCGUAGCUUGCUACACCAUACACUGUGAGUUGCGAACGGGUGAGUAACGCGUAGGUAACCUGCCUGGUAUCGGGGGAUAACUACUGGAAACGAUAGCUAAUACCGCAUAAUAUUGAUUAUUGCAUGAUAAUUGAUUGAAAGAUGCUAUUGCAUCACUACCAGAUGGACCUGCGUUGUAUUAGCUAGUAGGGGAGGUAACGGCUCACCUAGGCGAAGGUACAUAGCCGACCUGAGAGGGUGGUCGGCCACACUGGGACUGGGACAAGGCCCAGACUCCUACGGGAGGCAGCAGUAGGGAAUCUUCGGCAAUGGACGAAAGUCUGACCGAGCAACGCCGCGGGAGUGAAGAAGGUUUUCGGAUCGUAAAGCUCUGUUGUAAGAGAAGAACGGGUGUGAGAGUGGAAAGUUCACACUGUGACGUUAUCUUACCAGAAAGGGACGGCUAACUACGUG
rnacentral:rRNA from 1 species